rnacentral:lncRNA from 1 species
AUGUUUUGGCCAUUGUUUUCUUUUGCAAUACAACCAAACAAGACUUCUCACUGUUCCUCACACACAAGAUUCAAUUUCUGCUUUCCAGGACUUUGCAAGGGUUGUUCUCUAUCCAUGGAACAUACUCUCUCUUUAAUUCCUCCACGAAGAUUUCCUAUCUUCUUUCAAGACACAGCAAGAACCAACUUCUAUGUGGAGUCUUUUCUAAUCCCCAAGUUCCAAUUCCCUCCUUCUCAAGAUUCACACAGAAGAAAAUGAAGGAAAACCAAAGGUGAAAAUGAGACCCCCAAAGUGAUCUAGGACAAUCAAUAAAUAUUAUUAAGUGCCUACUAUGUAUCA